UACACAUGUUUAUGGUUUACACAAAGCAUACAAGGAAAGAUUAAGCAGUUGUACAAAGUCGAAGGGUUCUCCGACGUACGAUGGAUGAAUUGAGUGUCAUAAAAGCUUGGAUGCGAGCAUCCAGGAGAAGAAUUUCGAUCGAAGUACAGAUUUUUCUUGAAUUCGAGAACAAUGAUAUUAAUACCAGCUGGUAAAAGAGGAAUAGUGUAAGUGCCCGAUGGGUACGAACGUCAUCUUGUGACUGCAUCACCUUUGUUUGGCUGAAGUACAAGAGAACUGCAGCACCGAAGACUACAUGUACAUCGAUUUGAAUAAUCUGGAUCCUCAAAAGGCAAAUCAAAUACAGAAAAUGCAUAUAAUUUGGAAAAGAGACCACCAAUCCACUGGGGGGUAUCGCAUAAAAGCAAUGGUAUUACAGAAUAUUGUAAAGCUGGAUGAGUUAUAGUGAAACAGGUAUAUGUCUGCUCAUCUGGCAAUCUUUGGAUAUCACUGGAUGGUACUUCCAGCAUGAAGACCAGCUAGUUGCCUCACCUGUCUUGACAUUGUUAAAGUACUUUAAGACAGUGAAAAGACAUGGCUCUAAAUUACUGCAUCAGAGAUCUAUCCAGGUUAUAAAUCAGAGCAAAACAAUAAAGCAUCAUUUGGAGCUACUUAUAUCACUGCCUUAACGAGUUGUCUGCAGACGGGGCAUCCUUAAAAACUUCAGUCGCACUCGUCACUUAGAAUAGAAAACUUCAUAUUUUUAUAACUUUUGUAUCAAUCCUUUUGCACUUCAUCUGACUUGGAAUUUCAGUAGCCUUUACAUGUAACAUCCUUCAAGCAUUUCAUGAAGUACCAAUUUGCAGGUGUAAAAUGUUUGUCCCAAAUGAAACAAAAAAAAAUAAAUUCUCUGGCAGUUAGCAGUGUCCUGAGCAGUUGAUUGAUGUCACAGUUCCACCAGCAUAGUAUUUGUAGUUGAAUGGUGCCAUUUUUAAGAAAACUUUUCACAAAAACCUGGAAAACAUCAGAUGGAAAGGAGCAUCUACAAGAAAAACAGUGAACACUUUCUUGAAUAUUAACAAUGAUAUGUCAUGCCCCAUUUACAUCCUUUAUAUAAACUAAUUAACCAAAUCAUAGAGAAUUAUAUACAAAUUUGUCCUUUUGUGUAUUUAU